CAGCCGCCGCGGUAAUACGGAGGAUCCAAGCGUUAUCCGGAAUCAUUGGGUUUAAAGGGUCCGUAGGCGGUCUUGUAAGUCAGUGGUGAAAGCCCAUCGCUCAACGGUGGAACGGCCAUUGAUACUGCAGGACUUGAAUUAUUGGGAAGUAACUAGAAUAUGUAGUGUAGCGGUGAAAUGCUUAGAGAUUACAUGGAAUACCAAUUGCGAAGGCAGGUUACUACCAAUUGAUUGACGCUGAUGGACGAAAGCGUGGGUAGCGAACAGGAUUAGAUACCACAGUAGUCCCUGUCUCUUAUAA
rnacentral:rRNA from 1 species